UACGUAGGGUGCAAGCGUUGUCCGGAAUUAUUGGGCGUAAAGAGCUCGUAGGCGGUUUGUUGCGUCGGCUGUGAAAACUCGAGGCUCAACCUCGAGACGUCGGUUGAAACCGUUUGGCUAGAGUCCGGAAGAGGAGAGUGGAAUUCCCGGUGUAGCGGUGAAAUGCGCAGAUAUCGGGAAGAACACCCGUGGCGAAGGCGGCUCUCUGGGACGGUACUGACGCGUGAGACGCGAAAGCGUGGGGAGCGAACAGG
rnacentral:rRNA from 1 species